AAGUCGUAACAAGGUCUCCGUUGGUGAACCAGCGGAGGGAUCAUUACAGAGUUGCAAAGCUCCCGAACCCCUGUGAACUUACCUAUUGUAGUUGCUUCGACGGGUGGCUUCAGGCGGAGCCGCCUGCUUCUGUUCGCAGAGGUACCCGUCAGAAGCCCACAAAACUCUUUGUGCUUUAGUGGCAUGUAUGACCAAAAGAAAAUUAAUGAGUCAAAACUUUCAACAACGGAUCUCUUGGUUCUG
rnacentral:misc_RNA from 1 species